UGUGAAGCCUUCUAAGAGUGCUCUGGUGCCACAGAAGACAUCCACUAGGAAAAGGUCCCGUUCAACAAGCAAAGGAAACGUGGCCAAGAAACUCCUCAUUGAUGAUGAGACCGAGGAAGACGACGGUGGCAGCAGCGGGGGUGCGGCCUCUGCUGAUCAGCAAAGCCCCAGCAAGGAAGCAUGAGCAGACAGGCUCGUGCUCAUUUUGCCGCUCCAUAUUGCAGCCAACUUUUGGGUGUCUUUAGUCUGCAUCGACGCAUCAUCUUCGUC